UGAGGAUGUCCCUUCAUCUUGAGUCUCAGUUCCUCAUCUGGGAAUUGAGAACAAAAUAUCUACCCUUGUGAGUAUGAAGAGAAUCUGAAAACACUUUAAAAAGCACAUUCCUGAGUUCUACAAAUAUGACACUAUUACAAUUUGGCAAGUUUCCUGACCUGUAACAUGACAGGGUUUUAUUCAGUUCUCCCUGACACACUGCCACUGUAUAGCCUUAUAAAGCAGAGGGUUGUACUGGCCAUUUGACCUUACUAUUUACACUGCCCUCCUGAAGGGUGAAAUGUGUAGCCUCCUGAAUUCUGGGUUCGAAGAUUCAUCUCCACAGAGGGAAGAAGUAAUGCUAUAGGGCCUUCUUCCUUUAUUUUGCCCCAAUCUUUUAAAAGAUCAUAUCUUAUUGACACUUUUCUGAUUUUCCAGUUUUCUCAAGAGAGCAUGUAUUGUUUUCAUAGUCAUGGUAAACCAAGAAAUGUCACCUAAAAGAGCAGCAGAUACAUGCCACAAGCUUUUGUUCCUCUUUUCCCCACAGAUGUAGCUCAGCCCCUGGGAUGUCUUUAAGACUUUGUUAACAAGAAGUUUAUUUGUCAACAAAUAAUUUGUCCCCGGAAACCCCAGUUCCACAGGUGCAGGGUGGAGUCCAAGCAAUUGAGUUUUGAAGGUUCAAGGGGAAUUUCUGGGACACUUACAGGCCUCACAGCUGGGAGGAGGAGUUGAGGGUGGGGAGCUGUGCUCCAGAGCUCACAUUUGAGUUUGAAAUGUGCCUUUCAGAGGAGUGAUGAUGACCCUGUUGUUUUCCUUUGGUCCAGAGGAGAUGGAAAAGGAGUAUAAGUAUUUGAAGAAUAUGUUUCAUAUGUAUCAGGUGAGACAGAGCUCCUUGUUGGCUUCCGAGAGUGAGAGAAGCAAGUCUUAUGCCUGGCUGACAACAUUGAAUCCAGAGCUCUUGCCCGAAAAAACCAUGUCCUGAGACUCCAGCAUCCAUAGACCUAAGUGGCACUUACUGUACCCAGGAAGAAGGGUGGACCCAAUGGCUUCCACGUAUGACAAGUCAUCCCAGACUGUAAAGAGGCCUAUUGACAAAUAUGUUUGUGGUUAUACCACAAAUUAUUAAUUCUGGUAUUCACUAUUAUUAUUGUUCACUUAAAAAAAAAAAGCAAUGGGAAUAACCAACAACAGUAACAAUCAAAAGAAAGAAGUGUUACCAUCCAAAGACAACCUCUGCAAAAAUCUGUAUUCUUUUAAUGUAUUAAAUCUGUGUAUAGUUUUGUAUCCUCUUUUCACCAGGCAGAAACUUUUUUCUCCUUUUUAAUGACUAGAUAUUAUCCUAGUGAAAACAUGUAUUUCACUAUUCCCCAAAGGUUGGAUGUUUGAGUUGCUUCCAAUUGUUUGAUGAACAAAAAAC
rnacentral:lncRNA from 1 species